CUCCCGCUGCUCUUCUAAAAGGUGACCGGUGCAGAAGGGCGCGGCCUCUGCGUGUGUUGGGGGAGAGGAUUGAGAUCUGGCCAUGCCUUAAUCACGACCGGAUUCGCUUGUGCACAGUGCGGAACUGCAAAGGAAGAAAUGGAGGGGGCUAGGGACGAAGGCCGCUUGCAGCCUCUGCAGAGAGGUGGGCGUGGUUACCACCAUGGCCCCGCCCCGUUUAGGCAGCGACUCCAAGCUAGAGAGCCGAACCUCUCUGCAUAACUAUCCACCGCGCUCUACCUGGACAGUGUCAGGGUUUUCUGCAAGCUCCUGUACUCCUGAAAGCCCUCGCUGCUUCGAAGAUCCAUUCUGCUCGGCGUGGAUUUGAGGACUGACUACACCAAGAAUGCUGGCCCUCGAGCUUCCCGGAAUUCUUUCUUCACCUUUCAUCUCUGAACCUCUCCAUGGUGAUCAACCUUCACUAUCCCUCUGAUGCGGCCUAGGAUGACCUGGGAGUGGGCUUCUGCCCUGGCUGGUGGAGAAUUAUCUUGACUAAGUGCAGGGCAGCCCGGAAUGGAGCUGACCAGCACAGCAGAAGCCAGGAAGCGACUUCCCCUCCUUGCCCGCAUUCUUCGCUUCCUUUCGCUGGAACCUUCGCACCAGGCCUGGCCAGAG